GCUCUGGUUCUUCAACACCAAGAGUAGAAAGAUACAAGAAGAAUUGGGAAAAAAAAAAAAAAGAACCCAAUGCUGUGAUGUUACUGAAUGACAGCUGUAGAAGAAACAUCAACCGGGCCAUGGACUCGUCGCCUCGGUUAAAGUUCACUCCCAGCUCGGGCUCCUGCGGGAGAGAGGCAGGGCCAGCUACCAGGAAAGGCCUCAGCAGCCCCCCGCCGGCCCGCGGAUGGCAUCCUUCAGUCUUAACUGUCAGAACCCUCUACAUGAGCCCCUUUAAAUCAGAAAACUGUAGGUCUAAUCGCCACCCAGCCUGGCCCAUCUUGGUCCAUUUUGCUGAAGCACAGAGGUUUUGCUUACAGCAGAAGGUCAAACCUGGAUUUGCCAGAAGGCUCCCGGAAUCUCCAACUGACAACGCUUCCAGGCCAAGGAAUUUUUAAUUCGUAUUUUCUGUUUUUCUGGCGCUGCUAGGGGGCAGGGCUGGGUGCAGCUGCUCCGCCACCUGGUGGUCACACCCAGAACUGCAGUAUUUUCAGCAUGGCGCCCAUCCCCCAAGAGUUCCCCAGCAGAAGUGGGAAGACAGGGACAUUGGGGUGGGAUGCAGGCAGCCUCAGAUUAUAGCCACUACGCCCUCCAGAGCGGCUUAUUAAAUUAAUUCCUGUAAAGUGAACCUCUGGUUCUUAUGGAAUCAGAAUGGCCAUUGGAGUUGACUUUUCUAGCCAAGGGCUCCACUGCUUAAAGCCAAGGCCAAAUUUGUCUGCCAAAUGACCUUAGGCAGUUCACGUCCCUUCUCUGAACUCCAAGGUCCCUUCUCUGAAUCUCUAAGGUGGACGCCUUCCACUUAAAGUAGUGACAUUAAAUGAGAUGACGAGUGGCCCUGAUGAAGGAUCUUAGCCACCGUCAACAUCACCGGCACCAUGCUUGAACCCUUUUUCUUCCUUUUUUUUCUUUUCCAGUUGAAGUCACAGCAUUUCAGAUCCAGCUGGGCUCACUGGAUUUGGCCCCUCCCUGCACAGCUGGAAGAACCUGAGGUCAGGAGAAGAGAACAAGCUCACCACCUUGGGGACGAGGGACAACAGGAAGAAAACCAGCUCUCACCUCCGGAGCUCCUUACUUCCUCCUUGAGGGCAGCACUUGGGAGAUUUUUCCCCAAAUAACACUGCAAGCUUGAGUCACUUCUUUGUUACCGUUGGAAUUCCUCUUCAAGCCACUGCCCAGCAGCAGCUGAGAUCUCCCAGGUCUUACACACUAUAAAAGAGCAUCUUUGUAAAGGCUCCUCAGUUCACCCAUGUGCCUCUUUGGGAGGAGGGCAGAUGACAGGAACUCUUAACUCCACCUUGUCCUUCCCUACAGCAUGACUCCCACAGUUCCACACCCCCGAGGAACCCACAAAAAUGCUUUUUUUCUAUGUAUUUCAGAAACACAUCAACAUUAAUAACUAGUUGUCUUUAAUUGAGACGUUGUAUGCACACGUGGCAAACAACUCAAUGGCCCAGAAGUACACAAAUUGACAUGCAAAGGUCCUCUCCCCCCCCUCCACUUGCCUGGAGGCACCUGCCACCAACCAUGUGUAUUCUUCCAGAAAAAUCUUAGAGCAUCUUCAAAUACGUGCACUAAGAUUAAAAUUUUUUUUUAGAUUCUUCCUUUUUUUUUUUUUUGGUUGGGGGAGGCAAUUAGGUUUAUUUUUUUACUUUUUAGAGGAGGUACUGGGGAUUGAACCCAGGACCUCAUACAUGCUAAGCAUGCACUCUACCACUUGUUUUGUACCCUCCCCCCUUAAUUUGUUGAAUAGGUAGUGAAUUCACAUGGUUCAAAGCAGAAAAUGUGAAAAAGGUUUACAAAAAAAGCUUCCUUCUCCUAUCCCCCCUUCCCACCGCCUCCACUGAGCUCUCACUUGUCACCUCCAUUCCCAGGUGACCGCUUUUAAUUUCUCAUGCAUCCUUUCAGAUUUUCUUCCUAAAAACAUAAACAAGCAAAUGUGCAUUCUUAUUUUGCUCCCUUUUAUGCAGAAGGUAAUUUUGCUCUCUGGGUUUAUUUCCCCCUAGUAUUAUACCUUGUGCAUCCAUUAGCAUAGUCCUUCAUUUUUACAGUUGCAUAGUAUUCUAUUCCACUGUGUGGAUUUCCACAAUUUACCUAACUGGCUUCCUAUUGAUGGGCAGUUGGAUGGCAAUAUUUUGAUGUUUCAAAAAAUGUUGAAAUGAAUAACAUUGCACAUAUAUGCUUUUGAAUGUGUGCUACUGUAUCUGUAGGAUAAAAUUCCUGAAGUGGGAUGGUGGAAUUGAAGUGUCAAUGAGCUGGUGGCCUUGAGAAGCAGCCCCGUUGCGCUCCCCAGGGACAUACUCAUUCACACUGCCCCCUGCUCCUUAAUACACUGCGCUGUGACUACACUUGUAGGGUUUUGCCAACAUCAUGGGUGACGAAUAGCAUGUCAAUGCAGCUUUAUUUUGUGUUCCUUUUCUUAUGAGUGAGUUUGAGCAUCUUUUAAUAUAUUUAAGAUGUAUUAGUAUUUCUUUCCUAUGAACUGUUUCCUUAUAGCCUUAGUCUAUUUUUUGGCUGCGGUCUGUGGCUCCCUGACCAAUUUGUACAAGCUCCUUCUAUGUUAGGGAGUUGGCUCUUUGCCUGUGAUAAAAGCUGUGAAUAUUUUUCCGGUGACUUUCACCAUGCUGUUGUUAUUGAUCUUGUAGCACGUAGAGGUUUUGUUUUUUUUUUGGUAAUCUUUUCUUCUUUGACUUUUGGAUUUUUGCAUCAUAAUCAGAAAGGCCUCCUCCACUGCAUGGCGACACAGGAAGCCUUUCCCGGUUUGCCUCCGUAAGUCAACAAGGCGGCUGAGUUUGUCACAUGCCUUAGCAGCAUCUGUGGGGCUGACGUCUGACUUUUCUUGUUAAAUUGAUGAAUAGGAUGAAUUAUAUUAAUAAAUUUCCUGAAUUAUA